rnacentral:rRNA from 1 species
UUAAGUUAUUAAGGGCGCACGGUGGAUGCCUUGGCACUAGAAGCCGAUGAAGGACGUUACUAACGACGAUAUGCUUUGGGGAGCUGUAAGUAAGCUCUGAUCCAGAGAUUUCCGAAUGGGGAAACCCAGCAUGAGUUAUGUCAUGUUAUCGAUAUGUGAAUACAUAGCAUAUCAGAAGGCACACCCGGAGAACUGAAACAUCUUAGUACCCGGAGGAAGAGAAAGAAAAUUCGAUUCCCUUAGUAGCGGCGAGCGAAACGGGAAGAGCCCAAACCAACAAGCUUGCUUGUUGGGGUUGUAGGACACUCUAUACGGAGUUACAAAGGACGACAUUAGACGAAUCAUCUGGAAAGAUGAAUCAAAGAAGGUAAUAAUCCUGUAGUCGAAAAUGUUGUCUCUCUUGAGUGGAUCCUGAGUACGACGGAGCACGUGAAAUUCCGUCGGAAUCUGGGAGGACCAUCUCCUAAGGCUAAAUACUCUCUAGUGACCGAUAGUGAACCAGUACCGUGAGGGAAAGGUGAAAAGCACCCCGGAAGGGGAGUGAAAUAGAACCUGAAACCGUGUGCUUACAAGUAGUCAGAGCCCGUUAAUGGGUGAUGGCGUGCCUUUUGUAGAAUGAACCGGCGAGUUACGAUUUGAUGCAAGGUUAAGCAGUAAAUGUGGAGCCGUAGCGAAAGCGAGUCUGAAUAGGGCGUUUAGUAUUUGGUCGUAGACCCGAAACCAGGUGAUCUACCCUUGGUCAGGUUGAAGUUCAGGUAACACUGAAUGGAGGACCGAACCGACUUACGUUGAAAAGUGAGCGGAUGAACUGAGGGUAGCGGAGAAAUUCCAAUCGAACCUGGAGAUAGCUGGUUCUCUCCGAAAUAGCUUUAGGGCUAGCCUCAAGUGAUGAUUAUUGGAGGUAGAGCACUGUUUGGACGAGGGGCCCCUCUCGGGUUACCGAAUUCAGACAAACUCCGAAUGCCAAUUAAUUUAACUUGGGAGUCAGAACAUGGGUGAUAAGGUCCGUGUUCGAAAGGGAAACAGCCCAGACCACCAGCUAAGGUCCCAAAAUAUAUGUUAAGUGGAAAAGGAUGUGGCGUUGCCCAGACAACUAGGAUGUUGGCUUAGAAGCAGCCAUCAUUUAAAGAGUGCGUAAUAGCUCACUAGUCGAGUGACACUGCGCCGAAAAUGUACCGGGGCUAAACAUAUUACCGAAGCUGUGGAUUGUCCUUUGGACAAUGGUAGGAGAGCGUUCUAAGGGCGUUGAAGCAUGAUCGUAAGGACAUGUGGAGCGCUUAGAAGUGAGAAUGCCGGUGUGAGUAGCGAAAGACGGGUGAGAAUCCCGUCCACCGAUUGACUAAGGUUUCCAGAGGAAGGCUCGUCCGCUCUGGGUUAGUCGGGUCCUAAGCUGAGGCCGACAGGCGUAGGCGAUGGAUAACAGGUUGAUAUUCCUGUACCACCUAUAAUCGUUUUAAUCGAUGGGGGGACGCAGUAGGAUAGGCGAAGCGUGCGAUUGGAUUGCACGUCUAAGCAGUAAGGCUGAGUAUUAGGCAAAUCCGGUACUCGUUAAGGCUGAGCUGUGAUGGGGAGAAGACAUUGUGUCUUCGAGUCGUUGAUUUCACACUGCCGAGAAAAGCCUCUAGAUAGAAAAUAGGUGCCCGUACCGCAAACCGACACAGGUAGUCAAGAUGAGAAUUCUAAGGUGAGCGAGCGAACUCUCGUUAAGGAACUCGGCAAAAUGACCCCGUAACUUCGGGAGAAGGGGUGCUCUUUAGGGUUAACGCCCAGAAGAGCCGCAGUGAAUAGGCCCAAGCGACUGUUUAUCAAAAACACAGGUCUCUGCUAAACCGUAAGGUGAUGUAUAGGGGCUGACGCCUGCCCGGUGCUGGAAGGUUAAGAGGAGUGGUUAGCUUCUGCGAAGCUACGAAUCGAAGCCCCAGUAAACGGCGGCCGUAACUAUAACGGUCCUAAGGUAGCGAAAUUCCUUGUCGGGUAAGUUCCGACCCGCACGAAAGGCGUAACGAUUUGGGCACUGUCUCAACGAGAGACUCGGUGAAAUCAUAGUACCUGUGAAGAUGCAGGUUACCCGCGACAGGACGGAAAGACCCCGUGGAGCUUUACUGUAGCCUGAUAUUGAAAUUCGGCACAGCUUGUACAGGAUAGGUAGGAGCCUUUGAAACGUGAGCGCUAGCUUACGUGGAGGCGCUGGUGGGAUACUACCCUAGCUGUGUUGGCUUUCUAACCCGCACCACUUAUCGUGGUGGGAGACAGUGUCAGGCGGGCAGUUUGACUGGGGCGGUCGCCUCCUAAAAGGUAACGGAGGCGCUCAAAGGUUCCCUCAGAAUGGUUGGAAAUCAUUCAUAGAGUGUAAAGGCAUAAGGGAGCUUGACUGCGAGACCUACAAGUCGAGCAGGGUCGAAAGACGGACUUAGUGAUCCGGUGGUUCCGCAUGGAAGGGCCAUCGCUCAACGGAUAAAAGCUACCCCGGGGAUAACAGGCUUAUCUCCCCCAAGAGUUCACAUCGACGGGGAGGUUUGGCACCUCGAUGUCGGCUCAUCGCAUCCUGGGGCUGUAGUCGGUCCCAAGGGUUGGGCUGUUCGCCCAUUAAAGCGGUACGCGAGCUGGGUUCAGAACGUCGUGAGACAGUUCGGUCCCUAUCCGUCGUGGGCGUAGGAAAUUUGAGAGGAGCUGUCCUUAGUACGAGAGGACCGGGAUGGACAUACCUCUGGUGUACCAGUUGUCGUGCCAACGGCAUAGCUGGGUAGCUAUGUGUGGACGGGAUAAGUGCUGAAAGCAUCUAAGCAUGAAGCCCCCCUCAAGAUGAGAUUUCCCAACUUCGGUUAUAAGAUCCCUCAAAGAUGAUGAGGUUAAUAGGUUCGAGGUGGAAGCAUGGUGACAUGUGGAGCUGACGAAUACUAAUCGAUCGAAGACUUAAUCAA